CUGGAAAGUUCGUGUUUCACGCACUAAAGAUUUUGCGCCGCAAUUUUCACCAAAAUAUUGCACGCCAAGAAAGUUCUUCCAGCGAGACUAACGUGCGCCAAAUGAGAUUAGCAGAGACACAAGGUGAGCACUAGCCUGCGUAGCAGCAGGCGGUAUUCGCGGGCACGAGAGAACGGGAAGAGGCGAGCGCUGUAGGCGCGAGCAUUGUAGGGGGUUCCGGGGGCAUUCUUCCCCGGAAAAUUUUUGAACCUAGAGUCUCUCAAAUGCCAUUUCCUGGACUUUGGGGGAAUAUUUUGCAGAAUUCUGACGGUCAGAAAAAACCUUGUUGAACAAGACGCCUGCUCAGACGUUCACACUAAGGCCCAUAGCCUAAUAGCCCCAAUGAGGCACAUAUACAGCCCAAUAUAAAGGCACAAAUUCAGCCCAAUGUGGCACAAAUACAGCCCAAUAAGGCACAAAUUCAGCCCAAUGAGGCACAAAUUCAGCCCAAUGAGGCACAAAUACAGCCCGAUGAGGCACAAAUACAGCCCGAUGAGGCACACAUACAGCCCAGUGAGGCAGAAAUACAGCCCGAUGAGGCAGAAAUACAGCCCAAUGAAGGCAGAAAUAUAGCCCGAUGAGACAAACUAUGCAGUAUAUAACAGCCCAAAUGAGGCAAACUAUGAAGUAUCUAAUUUACAUAAAUGAGCAUUGUUUCCCUCGCGAUUGUUCACUAAAGAGUUUGUGGCCCUGAUGAAUACUUCCACGAGCAACUAAAGACAUAAUUUAUUCUUAACAAACAAC